UGAGACUGUGACCUCGCUGGGCCAGAGAAUAACAUCCAUGUUUCGCUGCAGAUCAUCUCGUCCUCCCAGGGACAAGGAAAUGGCUGCAAUGGAGCUGGCUCAGCCUCAAUAGGUCCCUGUGAUGGAAUGUAAGGCUACAUCUAGACUACCCACCGUAUCGGCGGGUUAAAAUCGAUUGCUCG